ensembl:lncRNA
GGGGGGGGGGUUGGAGGGGGAGGGUGGGAGAGGCAGAGCCCGGAGCCUGCAGUUGCGCUGCUGCAGGAAGAACGGGUGGUAUCUGGCCUGAAAUGAAUCUUUCCCCAUAUUUAUUUACUUUAAGAGACAAUCCUGGAAUAAAUAGAGGCAUCUGGAGGACCAAGAAAUAUUUUUGCUGCCUCUUCAGAGAGUCUGCUUUGGAUUCACGCUCUCUAUUGUGUGCAAUCCCCCCCCCCCCCCCCUUCCCCUUUAUUUUUUUUUUUUUUAAUAGCAGAAAAGGAACAAAAGAAAGAGAGAAAGAACUUGGGCAGGCAGAAGAGGAGAGGAAGGGAGUGGGGAAAGGACAAAGCGGGGGGAAGAAGGGAACUCCGGCGCUGCUGAGGGCUGAGAUGCAGAGGGAAGUUGGCUGCAGCUGACUUCGCUUUCUCGUACGGAGCGAUCGGAGCUCAGCACCGCCCUUCCCCGCUCCGCACGGCCGGAGGUAUUGAAAAGAGGAGGUGAGAGGCAAAGCUGUGAGUCUGCCUGGAAAGGGACCCGGUGGUUCACCAUCAUUUCGAGAAGAGAUCAUCUCCCCUCCAAGAGGGCAACCGGAGCUUUUGCGGAGCACAAACGCUGCGAGAUAACCUUGCAGGAGCUGAAGGCGAUGGCAAAGCGUGCUGUAAUUGCGGUGCGGAUCUUUGCUCGUGCUUCUGCCAGGAGGAAUGCUCGGGAUCCCGCUGCUCUGAGCGGACUUUGAUUCGCGUAACUUUGCGCGCAGCCACCAGGGAUGGCUUCGGGUCGAGAGGAGCGCGGACAGAGAGUGUUUUGCGGGGGGUUCGCGUCGUGGUUUGGGAUUCCGCAGCGCAGAGGGGGGAGAGGACGCUGCGUUAACCCGCGUCUGUAGUUUGCUGUAAGGUGAAGAGUCUCCAUCUCCGCCUCGCACUGCUCGGUGCACUCCCCGAAUGGAAGGGGUUUGUACGGCAAUCGCGAUCGUUUCCCUCGUGUGUGUGCGGGUGUGAGUGUGCGCGGAGCCCACGGCGACGCGGGGAGCGAAGCGCUCCGUGCAAUGGAGGUUCCCGUGUAAAUAAAAGAAAUCUUCAGCAGAUAUGUUCGCCUUUGUGUGCCACCACCAAAACGCCCCAUCCACGACUCAUUCCGUGACCUUGCCUGCUCGCAUGAAGGCUCCAAAAACUGCUGCUCCUCAUUAGGGCUGCGCUGCUUGGGUAAUUUCUGCUCGUUUUGCGGUUCGUCUGUGGUGUAUUCUGACAUAUUUCUCCCCUGGAAAACGUCCCCACUGACUCUCAGUGCUCCUCUCCCCCCAUGCUCAGCCCUUUCUCUCUCCUUCUCCCUCUGCCUCUUUCUCUUCCCCUCUCUCCCCUUCUGCACAUACACACAACCCUUCUUUGUAGGGAUUCUCCCAGAUAUUCCACCGGUUUGGGAAAGCCAAGCUGCUUUCACGUCACUCCCUGCAUCUCAGCACCUUCGCACCGUAACUAUUUCUUAAAAUGGGAAUAGAUCAAAGAGUGACGAGCACAGAUAUAUGCGUAUAUAGAUACGUAUUUCUUUUCUUGCGAACAUAAAAGUAACCGUCAUUGGAGAGCUGUGAUUGACAGAUAAAUUGGUCUCGAUAAAGGCCAAAGAAGACAGUCUGCUCCUGCAGGAAUAUUUCCCUUUAAGGGCUCCCAUAAAGCAGGGGGCUCAGAACGGAACGGGGGAUAAAUUCUGCGGCUGAGCGAGUGGAUGACUUUCCUCGUCGAAUUUGGCAAACCACGAAUCCCUCCCCAAACAUCCCUCCCGUCGGGGUUUUGUUUCCAAGCCUUCCCUGUGUUCUCCGAGGGGGAAACCCCACUUCCAGGGGCUGCGCGGUGCAGUGAAGGGCAGCGUUUAGUGUUGGCUCAGCUGAGGCUCGUGACUUUGGGGGGGUCCGGGAGGACUUUCCUGGCAGCCCCACUCCCCGCCUGUCUGUCUCCGGAUCUGUUGGAUUCACUCACGCUCCAAUCUCCCCCUCCGACUUGCUGAGAAAAGGAAAGAGCGAGAAAUGGAAUGCGGUUCUGUCCCGGGGGUGCGUGGGAUCCGCGCCGGGGGAACGCCGCGCACUGGGGACACUCUGCCCUCCCGGUGCCUUUCUGCCCCUGGGGGAAGGGAUGGGGAGGUGGGGGGGGGCUCCACCGCUCUCUGAGCCCCCACUUUUUCUUCCUCUUGCAAACGUUGCCCGUUUCCCUCUCUCUCCCCACCGCGUCACCCCAGCCCUAUAAAACCCGUGGUGAUGAAUAGCCCUGAGGAGCCCGGACAAUCAGGCUUAUGAUUUUGUGUGUGCGUGUUGUUUGGGUUCUUAAAAAAAAUAAAAAUAAAAAAGAAAGAAAGAAAAAAAGAAAAGAAAAAGAAAAGAAAAAUGAAGGAAGAAAGAAAAAGAGAAGGGUCCUUUUUUUUUUUUUUUUUUGUGGAUAUAUUUCCUUUCUCUUUCUUUCUUUGCAGAGAAAUCGCCCAACUCCAUUCUUUCAGCCCCCAAUGGGCGUGAGCCACGUACCUACCUGUCUAUCCUUACAAAGGAAAGCUUAUCCUCCCAACACGCAGUCAGGGCAUCCCCGAGUUGUUUGGUUGUUUGUUUUUUUUUAACCUCUCCCAACUCUCUCCCAUCGAUUUGGUGAGAAAAGAGAAAAGGGAAAAGAAAAGUUGCGCGUGAAAAAAAAGCAGCAAAAAAGGGGAAAAAGGAAGCAAAAAUAUCCCCCGAAAGAACAACCCAACAACGACACCGCACGCAGAAAUGAAACCCGGAGGGGUAGAAAAAGGAGCGCAGCGCUGCUCUGAGUACCCCGCGCUGCUCUCUCCCACCGCUCCGCCGCUUCCCCCGUCAGCCCGGCACGAACUCAGCCUCGCAGUUUUAUUUAACGAACGACACGUUUAUGAACAAUCAAACGAUCCUCGUAAAAAUUUUAUUGAAGGGCAUAAAAACAUCCCCGGCCGUCCGCUCUCUCGCCGAAUAACGCGGCUCUCUCAGCGCCAGAGCUGCUGUCUGUCUGUCGGUCUGCCUGCCCCCCCGCCCACCCCCCCUGUUAUUUUUUUUUGGUGGUGGUGGUGUUAUGAUUUCCCCUUCCUCUUUUCAGAAGCGCUCCUCACAUCCUUGGAAGUGCUUCCCCCCCCCCUCCCCCUUCCGGAAGAUCCUUUUAUUUUAUUAUUAUGAUGAUGAUUAUUAUUACUGAGAGCAGGAAUAGAUGCACCCGUGCACCUCCCCCCAACCCCCCCCCCCCCCCCCCCUCC